UUAGGUAACAGACAUCACAAGUAAGAAACUACACAUUCAUAAAACCUAAGUCUAGCAUUGUAAAGAAUUAAAUAAAAAUCAAAUCACACAAAAAGUUAUCAAUCAAGUUAAGUGGAUUUAGACUAUACCAGUUACUGGCAAAACAGGUCCAAGAUGCAAGUUACUUGUAUGAAUGUUGUCCAAAGGGUCUACCGCUAACAUCCAAAAAUCGUUAUCUGCCUCUAACUCACUCCAAUAUACUAGAGUAAUACAAAGAGGCAGAUAACCAUUUUUGAUGUUGGCAGUAAGCCCUAAUGGCUACUCUACACGAUAGGCCAGCGCCGGCCACUCCAAGGGACGCAGCCAUGCGGUAGAACGAGAUAGCAAUAUCACUUGCUCCCUCUAACGCGGCGGUCGGCAACCUGCGGCCCGCGGGCCGCAUGCGGCUCGUGAAACUGUCACUUGCGGCCUGCGAGCCUCUCUGGCUUAGUAAUAUUGACAAACGACAAUGUCUGAUAAAGUCAUAAAUAUUAACAACUUCAACGCGUCAACUUACUCGUUGUUAACUACGCUACUAAAACUACGCAAAAAAAGGUGGCCGACUGCUGCUCUAACGCAUAAAUGCGUUCAAUUCUAUUGUAUUGUAGCACUGGCUGGUAAAACAAACAAAACACCACAAUCUCGGGAGGCUGUUGCCAGCAAAAUGCAAUGUCUAAACCAUCUUCUAUACAAAAAAUAAUCUUUUUUAAAUAAAAUGACCAGCAUUGUUACUGCUUCUAAACCUCCUGUCUCACAGUAAAUGUCUAUGGUAGUAGGUAAAGCUUUACAUUACUUUAAAACAUAAGGAUAAAGUAGGGGGUAGUUUUAACUUUUAAUAUGCAACACUACAACAUCUUCUACAUCAGUUAAUUUCUGUUCUCUACAAUUUGACCCCUGAUCUCAUAUCUAACACCAAAAACAAGUGGCUAACUUCCAUUCUCAAGAUAAAGAUAAUAUAGAUAACUAACAGUUUGGCAUAGAAAGCUCAAUAACCUACAGAAAAUUGACACUGCACACCUUUCUAAGCCAACUGAUUGAGAAAUUUAAUUCUAAUAAAAACUUUACUGUGAGAAGGUCCUACAAUUACCAUGAGCUUAUUUAUGCAUCACUCCCUGAGCCUGAGUUGCUGCUGUCGCUGUCACUCUCAGAGUCGCUGCUGCUGUCACUGCCUGA